AACGAACGUUGGCGGCGUGGAUGAGGCAUGCAAGUCGAACGCGAAAGCCGCAAGGCGAGUAAAGUGGCGGACGGGCGAGUAACACGUAAUCAAGCUACCUGUGAGACGGGGAUAACUUCGGGAAACCGAAGCUAAGACCCGAUGGCCUUAGGAGACCGCAUGGUUUCCUAAGUAAAUGGGCGGGACCUUUCGGGGUCGCCUGCUCGCAGAGGUGAUUGCGGCCCAUCAGCUAGUUGGUAGGGUAAUGGCCUACCAAGGCAACGACGGGUAGCCGGCCUUAGAGGGUGGUCGGCCGCACUGGGACUGAGACACUGCCCAGACUCCUACGGGAGGCUGCAGUCGAGAAUCUUCCGCAAUGGGCGAAAGCCUGACGGAGCGACGCCGCGUGGAGGAUGAAGGGCCUCGGGUUGUAACGUACCUGUCACGAGUUAAGAAAGAAUAUGCCACGAACAGUGGUAGAUCCUGACGUAAGCUCGAGAGGAAGCACUGGCUAACUCUGUGCCAGCAGCCGACGG
rnacentral:rRNA from 1 species